rnacentral:rRNA from 1 species
UACGGAGGGGGCGAGCGUUAUUCGGAAUUACUGGGCGUAAAGGGUGCGUAGGCGGUUGUUUAAGUCUGUUGUGAAAUCCCCGGGCUCAACCUGGGAAUGGCAAUGGAUACUGGGCAGCUAGAGUGUGUCAGAGGAUGGUGGAAUUCCCGGUGUAGCGGUGAAAUGCGUAGAGAUCGGGAGGAACAUCAGUGGCGAAGGCGGCCAUCUGGGACAACACUGACGCUGAAGCACGAAAGCGUGGGGAGCAAACAGG